rnacentral:rRNA from 1 species
UACAGAGGGUGCGAGCGUUGUUCGGAAUUAUUGGGCGUAAAGGGCGCGUAGGCGGUGCCACAAGUCACUUGUGAAAUCCCCGGGCUUAACUCGGGGCCUGCAGGCGAAACUGUGGUGCUGGAGUAUGGGAGAGGUGCGUGGAAUUCCCGGUGUAGCGGUGAAAUGCGUAGAUAUCAGGAGGAACACCGGUGGUGUAGACGGCUUUCUGGACCGACACUGACGCUGAGACACGAAAGCGUGGGUAGCAAACAGG